GCCCAGAAUAGAAUUUUAGUUCAACUUUAAACUUGCCUACAAAACUUAAAAAUUUUAAUGCAAGUUUAAAAUAUAUUCUAAAAAGGUACAGCUUUUUAGAAUCAAGGAUACAACCUUACUUAGAGAGUAAAUACUGAUUAAAUCAUAGUAGGCCUAGAAGCAGCCAUCAAUUAAGAAAGCGUUUAAGCUCAACACCCAUAUCAACUUGAUACCAAAAAUAUCUAAUUAACUCCUAAUAUAAUAACUGGGCUAAUCUAUUUAAAUAUAGAAGCAACAAUGCUAAUAUGAGUAACGAGAAGUACUUCUCCAACGCAUAAGCUUAUAACAGCAACGGAUAACCACUGAUAGUUAACAACAACGUAGAAAUAAUCCAACAAUAAAACACCUACCAAACCAAUUGUUAAUCCAACACAGGCAUGCGACUAAGGAAAGAUUAAAAGAAGUAAAAGGAACUCGGCAAACACAAACCCCGCCUGUUUACCAAAAACAUCACCUCCAGCAUUCCCAGUAUUGGAGGCACUGCCUGCCCGGUGACAUCAGUUAAACGGCCGCGGUAUUCUGACCGUGCAAAGGUAGCAUAAUCAUUUGUUCUCUAAAUAAGGACUUGUAUGAAAGGCCACACGAGGGUUUAACUGUCUCUUACUUCCAAUCAGUGAAAUUGACCUUCCCGUGAAGAGGCGGGAAUAAAAUAAUAAGACGAGAAGACCCUAUGGAGCUUCAAUUAAUUAGCUCAAAAGGAUUUAUUUACCAGACCGACAGGAACAACAUAUUCCUUCCAUGAGCUAGCAAUUUAGGUUGGGGCGACCUCGGAGUACAAAAUAACCUCCGAGUGAUAUUAAUCUAGACGUACCAGUCAAAAUGCUCACUUACUUAUUGAUCCAAAGCUUCUUUGAUCAACGGAACAAGUUACCCUAGGGAUAACAGCGCAAUCCUAUUUAAGAGUCCAUAUCGACAAUAGGGUUUACGACCUCGAUGUUGGAUCAGGACAUCCUAAUGGUGCAGCAGCUAUUAAGGGUUCGUUUGUUCAACGAUUAAAG
rnacentral:rRNA from 1 species